rnacentral:rRNA from 1 species
GAGUUUGAUCCUGGCUCAGAUUGAACGCUGGCGGAAUGCUUUACACAUGCAAGUCGAGCGGCAGCGCGGUCUUCGGACUGGCGGCGAGCGGCGAACGGGUGAGUAAUACAUCGGAACAUGCCCAGUCGUGGGGGAUAACACUUCGAAAGAAGUGCUAAUACCGCAUACGUCCUGAGGGAGAAAGCGGGGGAUCGCAAGACCUCGCGCGAUUGGAGUGGCCGAUGUCAGAUUAGCUAGUUGGUGGGGUAAAGGCCUACCAAGGCAACGAUCUGUAGCUGGUCUGAGAGGAUGAUCAGCCACACUGGGACUGAGACACGGCCCAGACUCCUACGGGAGGCAGCAGUGGGGAAUUUUGGACAAUGGGGGCAACCCUGAUCCAGCCAUUCCGCGUGAGUGAAGAAGGCCUUCGGGUUGUAAAGCUCUUUCGGCAGGAACGAAACGGCGAGCUCUAACAUAGCUCGCUAAUGACGGUACCUGAAGAAGAAGCACCGGCUAACUACGUGCCAGCAGCCGCGGUAAUACGUAGGGUGCGAGCGUUAAUCGGAAUUACUGGGCGUAAAGCGUGCGCAGGCGGUUGUGUAAGACAGGUGUGAAAUCCCCGGGCUUAACCUGGGAACUGCGCUUGUGACUGCACGACUAGAGUAUGGCAGAGGGGGGGUGGGAAUUCCC